rnacentral:rRNA from 1 species
AGCAUUGAGGCAGUCAAAGCAGGCAAAUCCGCUUUGAUAAUGCUGGGAUGUGAUGGGGAGCGAAAUUUAGUAGCGAAGUAGCUGAUUUCACACUGUCAAGAAAAGUCUCUAUCGAGGUUAAAGGUACCCGUACCGCAAACCGACACAGGUGGGUGAGGAGAGUAUCCUAAGGCCAGCGAGAGAACUGUUGUUAAGGAACUCGGCAAAAUGACCCCGUAACUUAGGGAUAAGGGGUGCCACCAUCCGGUGGCCGCAGAGAAUAGGCCCAAGCGACUGUUUACCAAAAACAUAGGUUUCUGCUAAGUCGCAAGACGAUGUAUAGGAGCUGACGCCUGCCCGGUGCUGGAAGGUUAAGGGGAUCUGUUAGAGCAAUCGAAGCAGUGAACUUAAGCCCCAGUAAACGGCGGCCGUAACUAUAACGGUCCUAAGGUAGCGAAAUUCCUUGUCGGGUAAGUUCCGACCCGCACGAAAGGCGUAACGAUUUGGGCACUGUCUCAACAACAGACUCGGUGAAAUUGUAAUUCCGGUGAAGAUGCCGGAUACCUGCGACAGGACGGAAAGACCCCAUGGAGCUUUACUGUAGCUUGACAUUGGGUCUUGGUACUACAUGUACAGGAUAGGUGGGAGGCUUUGAAACCAGGACGCCAGUUUUGGCGGAGCCAUCCUUGGGAUACCACCCUUGUAGUACUGGGACUCUAACCAUAGGCCAUGAAUCUGGUCUUGGGACACUGUCAGGUGGGCAGUUUGACUGGGGCGGUCGCCUCCCAAAAGGUAACGGAGGCGCUCAAAGGUUCUCUCAGUACGGUCGGAAAUCGUACGUAGAGUGUAAAGGCAAAAGAGAGCUUGAUUGCAAGACAUACAGGUCGAGCAAGGAUGAAAAUCGGACUUAGUGAUCCGGUGGUUCUGCGUGGAAGGGCCAUCGCUCAACGGAUAAAAGCUACCCUGGGGAUAACAGGCUUAUCUCCCCCAAGAGUCCACAUCGACGGGGAGGUUUGGCACCUCGAUGUCGGCUCAUCACAUCCUGGGGCUGUAGUAGGUCCCAAGGGUUGGGCUGUUCGCCCAUUAAAGUGGUACGCGAGCUGGGUUCAGAACGUCGUGAGACAGUUCGGUCCCUAUCCGUCGCAGGCGUAGGAAAUUUGAGAAGACCUGUCCUUAGUACGAGAGGACCGGGAUGGACGUACCUCUGGUGUACCAGUUGUUCUGCCAAGGGCAUGGCUGGGUAGCUAUGUACGGAAUGGAUAAGCGCUGAAAGCAUCUAAGCGCGAAGCCAACUUCAAGAUAAGAUUUCCCACCGCAAGGGUAAGACCCCAGAAAGACUAUCUGGUUGAUAGGUCGAAGGUGUAAGUGCAGCAAUGUAUUUAGCUUAUCGAUACUAAUAG